UAAGUCUUAAAAGCUGUUUUCCUGUGUUAUGACAGUUGGAUAGUUUUCAGUAGAGCAGUACUGAAAGCAAUCCAUUUUUUUAGUGCCUAAAAAGCAUAAACACACCCUCGAUCUGUGCUGCUUUGCUGAUUAGCUGCCUCCUCCCACAUCGUUGAUAAGAGAGAUUUGUACAACUCCUCCUGUGUGCCAGGCCCUGGUCAAAGCUGAUGGUCUCCUCUCCCUCACAGACUGCCUCUAAGCUCUUCAGAUUCAUGAAUUUUAACAAGUCCAUGAGCCAGCUCUCAACCAUGUCAUGAUGUGCCAAAAAAACCUGAUGUUCUUCACUGUUUCCUUGGCAUAUGCCCAGUUGGCAUUCAGUUGGAUGACUUAGGUACCUUCCAGGUAUAUGAAAGUCUGAAACAGUAGUCACAGAACAUGACGUGGAAUGAAUUCAGAAAUUGAACAUGAUUGUCAGCACAUGAAAGGUGCCUCAGGGAGAGUGCAGUGACUGACAAGUGGUGACUGUGAGGUGCACAGGGAACAGAUGGAGCAGCUGGUGCGGUGCAUGAAAGGUCAAGUGCUGGGACUGAAGGUGUCCUGUUGCAGACAGGCCAGUGUCUCAGUGUGACCAUGAGAUUCAGCAGUCAGCCUUGCCCAGGUGUCCUCUCCAGUCUCCAGUGGACCUGGAAGUUGGAGGCAGAAGUGGGGGUGCCAGGAUCCACAUGUGUUACUGUGUGGUCCUGAGUGGAUUUGCCAUAACAAGUACAUUACUUAUGUCUGGUUUAUCAUACGAUGCUGGUCUUUAUAACUAAUCAUUAAUCUUCUACACUAUUUUCCAUAAGCUUUACCCAUGGAUGAGAGAUUUUUUAACUUUUCCUCACAUGAUAGAUCUAGACUUUGAAAUAUUGAACUAAGGGGAAAAAACCCUGGAAAGUAUGUUGAGAAGUACGCACAAUUGCUGCCCUGCCUAACUCUUCAGGUGACAAGUAGCUUUCUAAAGCUUGGAACUGUCAAAGGACUUCUGAGUAUGCUUCCAGCCACAAGUCAGUGCUGACAUCUUAACCAGUGUGUGGAGGAGGAGAGCAUUGGUUUCCACACUGAGGCAGCUCUGUGGUGGUUGUUCCUCUCAGGUACCCUCUACUGGUAAACUUUAACUAUACUGACAGACCAUAGCACAGCUAUGUCCCCAUUGUGCUGGAGUUUGUAUGAAUAGUUAGGAUGUUAAUACUACAUUUUUUUGCCUUCUUUCUCAUAGCUGAUGUCUAUGGAACUAGCUGUAUUACUUGUUUUUUGUUUUGUUUUUUAUUGUUAUAGCUCUGUUAAAUGGCCCCCCAAAUUUCCAGAUAGUAUCCCUAACUGCAACAGAAGAAUUUUAUGGAUCCUUAACUCACAAUAAGUUUGACUUUCAACAAUUUGUUGAGUGUGAAUAUUUUUACGUCUUUUUCAUGCUUCCACUUACUUGAAACUCAGUUUAUUCUUAAAAACUGUCUAGCAGAACCAGCUUAUUAAGUGUUACUUUGGUAUGCAGUGAAAUGGUCAAUUAAGCAAUAUUGAAGAAAGAUACUUUGACUGUUUUGAAAUUUAUUAUGAAUCAUAAAACAAAAAUUUCAUAGUAUUUCAGAGAUAAAGUCUAAACUGUUCUUAGUCCAGUAUGUCAGUAGAAUUUAUAGUGCAAAUAAAAUUUGCUUAAUUAAAAGAUUUUUUUUGAAAGUCCGUCUAUUAUCAGAAAGCACCAGGAAGAAGUUGUAUUAGUAGCUGCUGUUUUCAUUGGAAGAGUUUUUCAUUAAAUUUCUGUGUAAAAUCUAUUCUUAAUAAGAGAUUUUGUUUGUUUUCCAAACAUACUAUAUAGUAUGAUCUUUUGAAAUCGAAAUGGAUAAGGAAGAAACAAGUGAGGGCUGGUGAUGGUCUUAUAACCACUACAGAAACUCUGUGUUUAGUGCUGUAUCUUGUAUUCAUUCUCAUGUUAAUUAAUUACUAGAUGUUGUCAGUCAUGUCUCCAAUGAAAACAGGAGUGAUAGGGCUUUCUGAGUCAGUUGAUGAAUGAAUCAUACUAAUUUUUAGCAGUUUUUUCAUAUAAUUUUGUCUCCAUCUUUUCAGUAUGUUGACCGAGUUCUUCUAGGUGGUAAAGUUUGUGUUCCAGGUAUAUUGAGUUUAUGUAUUUAUCAUGUAUGCACUAUUGUUAGGUGAAAACAUACUUCAACUUGAUGGGCAGCUAUUAUUCAGUAUUCAUGUAUACUAAUGUUGAUAUAUAUUAGAUACUGUGUUUUACUAUACCUAUAAGGUUAUACAAAAUUCUUUCCUUUUACUCAUGAGUUCCAUCUGUUUGGAUUUUUUGUUUGUUUAGAUUUUUUUUCUUCGUGUGUUAAAAAAUAUAGUUUAAUGCUUUUCCUGGUACCUUGCCCUUUGUUGGCAUAAUUGGGAUAUAAAUCGUUCAAAUCUCCACAAUUAAGAGUUUCAGAAAUAAGUGAUACUGGCCACUUGACUUAAUAAAGACUAGAUAUACAAAACAGGUAGAAAAAAUACCUAUUUCCUCACUAAAAACAAUUGAAUAUUUUUCUUAUUAUUAGCAAAUAUUAGUAAUAGCAUAGGCUAUGAAUAAUUUCUAUAUGUUUUGGCAAGCACAUAGUGAGACAAUGCUUAUUACAGUAAGUACUCAUUUCAGUUAACUAACUGGGCACUGUAAUUCCAAUAGGGCUGUAAUGCAUGGAAACUCACUCUUCAGAUUCCUUAGAGCUGUAACCUGAGACAGUUGAAGGGCCCAUAGUUCAUUUGGGAGGUGUAGAUAGUAGUGAAGCUGAGGAAGCCUGGAAAGGAAAGGUGUACAGAGGGUGUGCUGUCAAGCUGGCUAACACUGCAGGAUGCUAGAACUGUAUUUCCUUUGUGCUACUCUGGAAAAACUAGAACACACAAUUCAGACAUACCUCAUGUGAAGAAUUGGGAUACAGAACUAGUUUGGGGCAGUGGUAGCUAUCCUGUACAGUGAACAGCAGUUCUUGGCAACUUGUGAUCAAGAGCUGUAGCUGGACAUGAUGGCACAUGCUUGCAGUUCCAGCACCUGAGAGGUAGAAUCAGGAAGACCAGGAGUUUAGGGGGAACCUGGGCUACAUGGACUGUGUCCAAAAAAAAAAAAAAAAAAAAAAAAAAUAGAGAAGAGCAGUAGCUGAAGAUUGGUAGACCCAGACUAUCAUUAUAAUACCCACAUCGUCCCUUACAUGUAUACUUGACAGUCCAGCCUCUUAGUACAGUCAGAUGGCAUCCUGUGCGCUUGCACUGCAUGACUGUGUAGCCCACGCAGGCAGAGCCAGGCAAGGCUGAAAGGCACAAUGAGAAGACAGUGCUGUGGUUCUGACCCUGGUGGUCUUUACUAUCCAUGUGAUCAGGUCUCAUCUGUAAGAUCAGAAGAUGAAUCAGUACACACCACUCUCAGGUGUGUUUGGUCUGAAGCACAUUUGAGCUGAACUUUGCGCAGAAGAGAGGAGGAGGUGCCUUGUUUUACAAAAAGGGAGGUCUGUUUAAUCAGCAAGAUGGAAAAGAUUUCUUGGCAAUUUAAAUUUUCAAAGGCAAAAAGGACAGAUAUUGUCCAGUGAAAAUUAAAAACUUACCUAAAAGGCUUUUUUAAGUUUCUACUUGAACACAUAUUUCACAACUGCAGGUUUGGGCUUCUUUUUCCCUUAUGUUACAUCAUGAACAUGCCACAUGUUAACGUGUAUAAUAUACAAAGUAUGUAAUGUAAAUUGAUAUUGUAUGACUGGUUAUAUCUACAUAUUAAUACUAAAUUAUGAAUGUAUAAUUGAUGUGAAAUAAAACACAUCCCUGAUAUUGAA
ensembl:lincRNA D930016D06Rik RIKEN cDNA D930016D06 gene